CCCAUAACCGCAGCUACACGUGCAAGUCGAGCGGUAGCACAAGAGAGCUUGCUCUCUGGGUGACGAGCGGCGGACGGGUGAGUAAUGUCUGGGAAACUGCCUGAUGGAGGGGGAUAACUACUGGAAACGGUAGCUAAUACCGCAUAACGUCUACGGACCAAAGUGGGGGACCUUCGGGCCUCACGCCAUCAGAUGUGCCCAGAUGGGAUUAGCUAGUAGGUGGGGUAAUGGCUCACCUAGGCGACGAUCCCUAGCUGGUCUGAGAGGAUGACCAGCCACACUGGAACUGAGACACGGUCCAGACUCCUACGGGAGGCAGCAGUGGGGAAUAUUGCACAAUGGGCGCAAGCCUGAUGCAGCCAUGCCGCGUGUGUGAAGAAGGCCUUAGGGUUGUAAAGCACUUUCAGCGAGGAGGAAGGGUAGUGUGUUAAUAGCACAUUGCAUUGACGUUACUCGCAGAAGAAGCACCGGCUAACUCCGUGCCAGCAGCCGCGGUAAUACGGAGGGUGCAAGCGUUAAUCGGAAUUACUGGGCGUAAAGCGCACGCAGGCGGUUUGUUAAGUCAGAUGUGAAAUCCCCGCGCUUAACGUGGGAAACUGCAUUUGAAACUGGCAAGCUAGAGUCUUGUACAGGGGGGUAGAAUUCCUGGUGUAGCGGUGAAUGCGUAUAGAUCUGGAGGAAUACCGGUGGCGAAUGCGGCCUCCCUGGACAAAGACUG
rnacentral:rRNA from 1 species